GAACGGGUGAGUCAUGCAUCGGAACGUGCCCAUGUCGUGGGGGAUAACGUAUCGAAAGGUACGCUAAUACCGCAUACGCCCUGAGGGGGAAAGCGGGGGAUUCUUCGGAACCUCUCGCGAUUGGAGCGGCCGAUGUCGGAUUAUCUACUAGGUGAGGUAAAGGCUCACCUACGCGACGAUCCGUAUCGGGUCUGAGAGGAUGAUCCGCCACACUGGGACUGAGACACGGCCCAGACUCCUACGGGAGGCAGCAGUGGGGAAUUUUGGACAAUGGGCGCAAGCCUGAUCCAGCCAUGCCGCGUGAGUGAAGAAGGCCUUCGGGUUGUAAAGCUCUUUCGGCCGGGAAGAAAUCGUGUUCUCUAACAUAGGACAUGGAUGACGGUACCGGACUAAGAAGCACCGGCUAACUACGUGCCAGCAGCCGCGGUAAUACGUAGGGUGCGAGCGUUAAUCGGAAUUACUGGGCGUAAAGCGUGCGCAGGCGGUUUUGUAAGACAGAUGUGAAAUCCCCGGGCUUAACCUGGGAACUGCGUUUGUGACUGCAAGGCUAGAGUACGGCAGAAGGGGGUGGAAUUCCUGGUGUAGCAGUGAA
rnacentral:rRNA from 1 species